rnacentral:lncRNA from 1 species
UCAACUGGGCCAAACCGUCGAUAAUCACCACUAGAUAGAAAGCAUGAAAUUGUGAGUUCUGAAACAACUAUGCAUAGCUUCAGAUAAAGAACAGUUUAUUAAUUCAACCAUUUGUGCUUGUACAUGCUACUGAUCAAUAGCAAGGGCCAACAAAUGGAGGAGUGCUGUAGCAGAUCCCGGGAUUGCAGCAGAAGGGCAUGCUAGAUGGGCACUGUGAACUACUUGUGCAUCUCCGGUCCUGAGCACUAGCGACUUCCACAAAGCAAAUUACUACUAGAGCAGCAACCAGCGCAAACAAAACCGCGAACUUCGACAUUGUGAAACCAAGAUGAUUAUUCCUCUUGCAGCCCACCUAUUUAUGAACCAAGUAUUUCUAUCACGAAUGCCUAAAGGUCGGUCAAGAUUAACAUACGCAGUGCCUUCGAGGAACAUGAUA